CCUACGGGAGGCAGCAGUGGGGAAGUAUUGGACAAUGGGCGAAAGCCUGAUCCAGCAAUUCCGCGUGUGUGAAGAAGGCCUUCGGGUUGUAAAGCACUUUAGUGGGGAAGAAACAGCUUGGCCACACCAAGCCUUGACGGUACCCCAAGAAUAAGCACCGGCUAACUCUGUGCCAGCAGCCGCGGUAAUACAGAGGGUGCAAGCGUUAAUCGGAUUUACUGGGCGUAAAGGGUGCGUAGGUGGCUAUUUAAGUCGGAUGUGAAAGCCCGGGGCUCAACCUCGGAAUUGCAUUCGAUACUGAGUGGCUAGAGUUCGGUAGAGGGCGGCGGAAUUUCCGGUGUAGCGGUGAAAUGCGUAGAUAUCGGAAGGAACAUCAAUGGCGAAGGCAGCCGCCUGGGCCUGGACUGACACUGAGGCACGAAAGCGUGGGGUAGCAAACAGGAUUAGAUACCCUGGUAGUCCACGCCGUAAACGAUGAGAACCUUGACGUUGGUCGUUUUACGAAUCGGUGUCGCNGCUACGACGAUAAGUUACUCCGUCCGUCGGGUAGGUACGGGCCGGCCGACGGUUAGGUAAACGUAACUAAGAAAGUUAGUACGGCGUGAGACGUCGCCGAACGGACGACCGACCGACGGGAGGUAGGG
rnacentral:rRNA from 1 species